rnacentral:lncRNA from 1 species
AGGUAAGUGCCGGCCACUCAAAUGGGGUGGAAAGAGGUGGCACAGCGCUGCCGAGGGAGUGCGUUCCAGACAGGUGACCUCUUGCUUGGGUGCUGAAUGAGUGGAGUUUUCCAGAGAGACCAAGAGGAAGCAGCCGCAGAAACCUCAGCCCAGCUGGGCUUGCAGAAGCUAAUGCUAGAAUAGUUGUGGGACUCAGGAUCUGCUGAAGUCGGGGGAAGAGAGAAGUAGGGAAAGGAAAGCCCAGGCCACGCGUGGGGCUCAGGAACGGCAUCCUCGCCCGAGAAAAGAGAGGUUAAAACCAAGACAUGGACAAAGCCUCCGAAUGAAGGCAGCCCUUUAAAUGGAAUAAAUUUGGUUUCAUGGCACAUUAAUGGGGUGUCUUCUCUCCGAAGACACAGAGACAACUACAGUAGGUCUGGGGGCCGUCAGGGAUUGGAGGAACGAAGGUAAGAAAAGGAAGAAGGUAAGAAAAAGAGGUCCCUACCUCUGUGAGGUAGGGACAGUGCUGAACAGCAGGGCUGGGAGAGCCCACAGGGAGGUGGCCAGGAUGGCCACAGGGCCUGGGGAGGACCAGGUGGGGCACCAUCCUGCGGUAGAGAAUGCCCGUCACCUGCCCUAGGGGCCACCCAGAAUGCAGAUUAAAUAAGUAUUUGGGAAUGGCACAGGAGCUUUUCCAUUUUCGUGGGUUAGAGGAAAGCUGCUGCGUUCAAGAGGAUAACGUGGGACCUGAGCAUUCUGGUAAGUCAACCCCACAUUCAUGGAAAGCCACGGGCUCUGUUUUACUGAUAAGGAACUGAAGUCCCACAGAGGAAGUGGCCAGGCUCACUCACACACAGCAUGCACUUGAAGCUUUCUGUGGAAAUCAGAAACCUCCGGGGCUCAGGCGCUGUAGUGGUGGCCUGGUGACUCUGACCCCUUGAAGGAGAAGCAUCUGUGAAGGUGCUGUCCAGGACAAGUAGGGUGCUCUACGGUAAAGGACAUGGUGGCCUGACCUGCUCCAGAGCAGGGAGGCCUCCCUUGAGGAAAUAAGAUAAACCCAGACUUUAAGGAUAAGCAGAAACCAGCUAGGUGAACUGGAGUGGGAACAGCACGUGAAAAGGCCCUGGUUUAGGAAGGAGCACCACUCCUUCAGAGCACAGAAAGGCCAGGAUGGCCGAAGCAUAGGGAACAACAGGAAAGUGACAUAAAUUGAGGCUGCAGAGGUAGAAGAAGGGCCUUAUUGGUCGUGCUAGGAAUUUGGAAUUCUGCAAAGAAGCCUGGGAAACAGAUUUUGGUGACACUCGCCUUCUCUUUAAUGUGCAGUUUCAGUUCUGUUGGUGUGAUUCUGCAUUGGAGAUGGCGUGCUGUAACGAAUGGCCAGGAGCUUAAGAGUCAUGCAGACUUGGGAGGCCUGGCCUUGCCACGCCCAGCUGCAUGGCCAUCCUCCUCCUGUUUCUGGCCGUUCUGUUUCUAAACCUUGGGGUUCUGAUAUUCCUACAUGUAAACUAGGGGCUGUAAUAGGAAUCUCACAGGUGAGUCUUAGGAUUAUAAGAGGAGACAUGACUGCAUGUGUAAGACAUCAUAAUGAUGUGCUUCCUCAUCUGACCCUACCUCCAGGUUCUUUGAUAACCUCAUGGUUCCCAUUUUCUAGAACAGUUGCCACUUGCACUCAGAUAAAGGUGACUCACUGAAUGCAUAAAUAAGUGUAGUGCCGGAUUUGCAUACUUUUGGUAGACUGUCAUAUAAUAAAUUUAUAAAUCAGAAUUUUAAAACUCCAGGUGGGGCCGGGCACAGUGGCCCAUGCUUGUAAUCCCAGCCAGCAUUUUGGGAGGCUGAGG